rnacentral:lncRNA from 1 species
CCUUAUUAUUUAUGUAAUAAAACCUACAAUUGACUUUCCUGAGACUUGUAGCAUUCCUUAGACAGGGGAUACCUGCCUUCUGAAACACUGCUCAGAGAAACUGGAGCAAAUAUGCUAUUUUUGAGAUUUAGUCGCCUAUGGGAAGAAAAUCAAAAUUUUAAAUUAGGAAACACUCAGUGGAUUCUGUAAGUUUCUUCAUGGAUAUGCAGAUGAUGAAACUGAAGGGGAGAGAGUGAUUUUCUUAAAAUUGGUAUUCUGAAAUUUAAUGCAGUACUUAUGAAGUCUUUUAUACACUGCCAUUGGAAUGAGUCACUGGACUGUAUUCACCUAAAGUUCAGGUCUGGUCAACAUUUUAGACCCAAAGGUCAACAAACUAUGUAGAUUUGACCCAGAUAACAGAUGCAGUCUGGUACCCAUUUGUGUCAUUUUUAUGUGGCCAAACCUAACUUUGUGGUUUCAUCAUGACAGGCUUUAGUUUGCAGUAGAGAUCUUGUGGCUCAGGAGCCUGAAGAGUUUACUACUCAGCUCUGUGAAUCUUCUUUAAGAUGAUCUUUGAGAAUACCUUUCCAUGUCGUCCUUAAAGCAAGCUAUUGUCAUCCAUUGCUAGCAUUCAGAUUCUCAAGACAAGUAUGUCAUGAGAAAUGAACCUGCAAAGACUACCUGCUUUCUUACCACACUCAUUUCUCCUCACCACUUGUGCCUGCUGAAGUCUCUCCUCAAUCCUCUGCCAAGUGACUACUUGUUGUCUGGAAACUUCUGAGGACACUGGGGAAUCUGGUGGUAACAUGGGCAAGGGAUGUAACCUUGAAUGGAUGGUGGUGUUUUAAUUUCUUCCGCUGAACAACUUCAGAAGAUGCAGAGUGAGUUUUGAUGGGAAAGAGACUCUUCAUGGGCUACUCUAGAACAAACAAUGGAAACGGAUCACAGGAAAGAAUGAAGGACAUGGUUCAUGUCUGAUUCAGGUGAUUUCUACAAACAGUUCCAGGAGCUUUCUCCAUUCUCCCAGUUGAGAUUGGCAUUAUGCUUAGAGAAGAAAAAGCGUCUCAAAAGAAAACUAGUCACUCUUGAGGUAGAAUUGCCUCACCUGAAGAGGGAGGAGGUAUUUUUCCUUUUCUCUGAGUCAAGAACUCAUGAUCACCAUCACCCAACCCUGCUCACACACACCCUGACCACCACGGGUCUCUAGGCACUUUAAAUUCUAUGAUUUAUAUGAACUCUUACAGGGACGCAGCUGUUCUCCUGGGCAUAUUCACAACACGUUUUUCCACCCACUCACCUCCCAAGGUGGGUUCUUAAGCAAGUAGCAAAAUGAGGUGUGGGCACUGACACAAAGACCAAUGAGGCAUUUUAAGAGAAGUUAAAUUCAGGAAGCUUUAGGGAAACAAACAAAAAUAAAUUUUAAGAAAUCUGUUUGCAUGGAAAGAUAAAACAAUAAUAGAAUGAGAGAGAGAGAGAGAGAGAGA